UAGUCCGCACGAGCGCAACCCUUGUCUGCUGUUGCCAUCAGUUCGGCUGGGCACUCUGCGGAGACUGCCGGUGACAAACCGGAGGAAGGUGGGGAUGACGUCAAGUCAGCAUGGCCUUUAUGUCCGGGGCUACACACGUGCUACAAUGGNNGGCACAAAGCGCUGCGAUCCCGCGAGGGGGAGCUAAUCGCACAAAGCCGGUCUCAGUUCGGAUUGCAGGCUGCAACUCGCCUGCAUGAAGUUGGAAUCGCUAGUAAUCGCGGAUCAGCAUGCCGCGGUGAAUACGUUCCCGGGCCUUGNACACACCGCCCGU
rnacentral:rRNA from 1 species